AAGACAUCUAGGAGGUUUGCUCAGAAGCAGCAAUCCUUUAAAGAGUGCGUAACAGCUCACUAGACAAGCGGCGAUGCGCUGAAGAUGUAACGGGGCUAAGCUAUUUACCGAAGUCGAAAGUCUAUUGAUUUAUCAAUAUGGCGGUAGGAGAGUGUUGUAUACGGGUUGAAGCUGAAGUGUAAGCGACAGUGGACUGUAUACAAGUAAUAAUGCUGAUAUGAGUAACGUAUGUAGAUGAAAAUUCUACACGUCGAAUACCUAAGGUUUCCUACGCAACGUUCAUCGACGUAGGGUUAGUCAGGACCUAAGCACAUCCUGAAAAGGUGUCGCGAUGGAUAACUAGUUAAUAUUCUAGUACUUAAAAUAUGGCGAUGGAGGAACGCAUUUGGAUUCAUUGGAGCCUCUUAAGGAUUGGGGUUGUAUAUCGAGGCUUGAUAGUAGGAAAAUCCGCUAUCUUUCGGCCGAGUAAAACACGUAGUCUGAGCAAUCAGACGUAAGUUCAGUUGUUUGGGUGCCAAGAAAAUCUUCUAGCUUAACAUAUUUUAACCUGUCCCGAGAACAGACACAUGUAGGUUGGUAGAGAAUACCUAGACGUUCGAAACAACUAAUAACUAAGGAACUUGGCAAAAAAGCGGACGUAACUUCGGGAUAAGUCCUUCCCACAGCAAUGUGGGACGCAGCGAAUGUCGCGGGGGCGACUGUUUAUCACAAACACAGCUUCAUGCUAACACGUAAGUGGAUGUAUAUGAAGUGAUGCCUGUCCGAUGCCAGAAUGUUAAGCUCUCUUGUUCACGCUCGGGAGUCAAGCACUGGUGAAUGACGGCCGUAACUAUGACGGUCCUAAGGUAGCGAAAUUCCUUGUCGGGUAAGUUCCGACCCGCACGAACGGCAUAACGAUCCCCGCACUGUCUCAGUUUUAGUUUCGGUGAAAUUACAAUCCCGGUGAAAAUGCCGGGUAGAUGCAGUUAGACGUGAAGACCCCGUGAAGCUUCACUAUAGAUUGGUAUUGUAUCGUAGCGUAUGUUGCUCAGCAUAAGUAGAAGGCUUUGAAGUCCAAACUCUGGUUUGGGUGGAGCCAAAAAGUGAGAUACUACUCAUUGUACGUCGCGAUACUAACCCGCCAUUGGCGGGAACAGUGCUAGUUGGGUAGUUUACCUGGGGCGGGUGCCUCCUAAAGUGUAACGGAGGUGCACAAAGGUGUUCUUGGUACGGAUGGAAACCGUAUUGUAAGUGUAUUCGCAUAAGAACGCUUGACUGUGAGACUGACAGGUCGAACAGAUACGAAAGUAGGUGAAAAUGAUCCGGAUCUUUCAAGUGGAAGAGGAUCCGCUCAACGGAUAAAAGUUACUCCGGGGAUAACAGGCUAAUGGAAUCCAAUAGUUCAUAUAGACGAUUCCGUUUGGCACCUCGAUGUCGGCUCGUCGCAUCCUGGGGCUGGAGAAGGUCCCAAGG
rnacentral:rRNA from 1 species